CACUCAGUCGUGUCUGACUCUUUGUGACCCCAUGGACUGCUACCAGGCUCCUCCACCCGUGGGAUUUUCCAGGCAAGAGUACUGGAGUGGGGUGCCAUUGCCUUCUCCAAAAAAUGGUCAUUCACCUAUGCAAUGUGUCUCUGCUGCUCUGAACACCGAGGUUGCUUUAUUUCCUGAUCCUUGAACCUGUACAGACAUGUGCCUUGAAUGGAUCAACAGAAUGUGGCAGAAGUGAUGUGGUGCCUGUCUUCUGAUUAAACCUCCAAAUGCCUUGAUUGCAUAUGUGUCUCUCUUGAAUGCUGUAUGGUCAGGACCUUCAAGGUGGCUGUUCUCUUGCUCUCUGUAUACUCCCUGCUUGAGCAGUCCCUGCUGUACUCACAUGACUCUCUAGUCCUCUUAAUUAUAGGGCUUAGUCCCCUGAUAAAUGAAGAGUCCACCUGAUGUCAAUUCCUCUAUACAGAGUAGCAUCCUACCCCCAAGGAGCUAAGACUUCUGCCUUGUCCUGCCCACUGUCUGCCACACACAGCAAGAGGCUGCUCUCAGACCCUCUGUUCAGUAAAUCGUGGAUGUCUCUGUCACUGUCUCUGGGCUCUUUCUUUGGUCUUGAGACUGGGCACCUACAAGGCUUGCAGGCCUGUGGAGCGCUGCCCAAUAGAGCCCCCCCCCCCCCCCAUUAUGAGAUAAAGUUCAGUGUAGGCUGCUGGACAAUGAAGGACCACCUGGGACAGAGCUGAUCGCAGCUGAGGCCAUCCUAGGCCAGCAACCUUCAUCACUCCAACAGCUGAUGUGGACACAUGAGAGAGCCCAGAUGAAAACAAGAGAACCAACCAGCUGAACUUAGCCUAAAUUGCUGACCAGCAGAACUGUGAGCCAUCCUUCUGGUCAUCUUGGCUGAGAGAUGCCUGGUUUAGAGAGAUGGACAAGCCACAGUUACCAUCACAUCAACUCUUCAACUCCUGUGAUAAUCUGUAACUACCUGGAACUGAUAUUAAAGACCCUCCAAGUGUUCCAGGCCCCCAGAAAGUCAUAUGUUGGGAUCAUUAAACCGAUGAUGGGGAAACCUAUCAGGGGAUUGUUUCAAAACAGACGCGAAAGCCUAUAUCUAGAAAAUAAACUCCAUACACAAUUCAAACAGAACACACUGAUCAAUAAUUCUGUGGACCAGUUUCCUAUUAUUAAUCAUGCUGACAUUAGAAGGAAACUCAGAUGAAAGAGAGUUUGUGAACAGGGUACUGAAUGGCAGCCAAGUUGAACCAUCAAGCACGCAUUUGGUCAGCUCCUAAUGGAUGAUCUUUUGAAGCACAGUGUCUGCCUGACAUCAUGGGAAAAAUCUUCUUUUUUUUUACUUUUUGAGUAAACAGUCUGAUUCCCUGGGACAUAUUUUAUACCACUUUCUCUUCUAAAGGAACUUAAAGAAAGAAUGUUUUAGAGCCAUUUAAAUUUAUAAGAAAUGAUCAUGAGGUGCAACUGAAAAAUAAAAAAAC